CCUCUGAAAUCCAGCAAGAAACAGGGAUCUGAAACCUUGGAUUAGACAAGUGACCAUAAAGCUUUUGUGUGGUUUACUGCAGGGAUUUAGCAAACUGGAAUACUAGAGCCUGAAUAGUUUGGUUUGAUUUUGCCUGGAGGGUGAUUUAAUGUUUUUCUUUGGAAACCAAAGUUUUUCAACGAAGCAGACAUGGAAGAAAACGAAGGAGCAGAUAUUUUGGAAAACUGCCCUGUCUCUAAUGGUCCUUGGUGCAAGCCAAAGAGAGACGAGGAGGUGCCUUUGGAGAGGAGGAGCAUGUGGAUGAAAGAGGAGGUCUCUGAGGCACCAUGGCCAUGGAAACGCACAAGUGACAACUACCUGUUAUGCCCAGAGGUGAUCUAAUGAGACAGCGCUCUGAAGUAAGCCCCUGCUCAGACAAGCAUCAAACUAUUUCCAGUAAAAGAGAGCUCGUGCUUUCUGCAAAGACAUCCUGAGCUCAUGUAGACUGUUCUGUUCCAUAACCUUGCCUGCUCCAGCUCGCUAAUGCACUCCCUAAAACUGCACUGUCUGUGGCCAUUCCUUCACUGCCUGGUUCCCGAUGGGCAUUCUGAUGUCAUCUCACAAGAUUUUCCUUUCGGCUUAAGGUGCAACUUAUAUUUAAAAACAAACAAUAAUAUGUCUGGCCACUGAUCAUCUACUGUCUGAAGCUUGAAUACUUCGCCGUGGCGAAUCCAUCUGCCACAGGGUAUUGCUGGUUCUUGAGAAUGCUCUUUAGGGUUUCACUGUACUUUUACUUCAGUGAUAAAUUAUUGUGGUUUCCAAAAGUUAAUAAUAAGUGCUCUACAGAGGAGAUAGUAUGUCCAGAUAGUAUGCUUUCCUUUUAGCUGUGUUUUUGGAUCUAGCUUUGUUCUUGUUCUAUGGGAUAACAGGCCAAAGGUGGCACCGUGCAGGCUGUGUUGAUACGAGCUGAACCUCUGCAAUUUUUUUUGUUCCUUCUUUUUCAUCUAAGCUUUCCUGACUCCUUCCUCCCCUUAUAUGGAAGCCCUGUGCCUUGUAUCUCCUUUGGCAUCGGUGCUUGGCGGGCUGGCUCAGGUCACAGCACUCGCCUGUCUGACAGAGCGCGGGCAGCCGGCGGGAUGAGCUGACCUCCGCGCAGCCGCUGGUGUGCGGAGGGAGCCGUGCGCUGCUGAAAUCCUGUCCCUGCCCCUGCUGGUGCACGGCGCUGUCUUGUCUUUAUGGGCAACACUAAAUCUUCCUAGAAACGCGUUAAAUUCUGUGGUUAUGUGAAUCUGUUGUCUUUGCCGAGAAUUACAGUCAGUAACCUGUCAGACCAGUGCAAGGAGCUAUUUUCAUGUUCCAACACGUUCCCCUAAAACCCUGGGUGUUUGCACAGGGCAGGCCU
rnacentral:lncRNA from 1 species